CUAAGUAAGUUGGAUUGAAAUAUUAAUUCAUAGCUUUUCAUCAUUGCACAAUCAUAGCUGCAUUCGUUUGCACAUCAGCGUUUAUUCAAAUAAAAAAUAAAACAAAAGUUGGAGAGUUGGCAACUAUACAUCGUGUCGUCUGUUCGGUAGAAGCCUGUCACUGGGUUUGUUUAUUUGCUGCUCACGGUCCUCGUUGUUGUAUGUCGAUGAAAACUAAUUGCAUGAUUAGUCUGUUCAGGGUACACAAACUACAACUUGCUUUAUAGAGACAUGUUUACAAUCAAGAAUGGAGGCGACAAAGAGGUCCAUGGGGACUGACCCCUGCUAUAUCCUGGUGUCAAAGUGAAGACUUCAAGGAGAGAGUAGACCUUUAGAAUAUAAGACUGAGAAUGAGAACCAUACCACUCCUACAAAAAGUGAGCAUUUUCAAGAAACUGGCAACUGCGCCCUGUUUAAAGGCAACAGUGAAUUACUGAUUUGUGGGUGCUUGUUGAAACAGAUGCCCAAAAGGUUCUUGAACUGUCCUUCACCUACCCUUGGUAAUUUAUAUUGAAAUUUCGUUUCCUAAUGAUGGGAUGUCCUGUACGACCCUACGAUAAAUUAAAAAAAUUUAUUCUGACGUAACAGCUGUGAACAUUCUUGUGGAGGGACAAAUGGUGAUUAGGAAGAUGAGUCACAUUCAGAAUUGAGUGAAGGCAGGAACUUUGAGUUGUUAGACUGCUAAAAUGAGAGAAGUCCUUUAUGUACCUAUCCUGCCUCAUUUCUCGGCAGGUAUCUUGUUAUGAUAAGAGCAAAAGCACAACAGAAUUUGCUGUGAUAAGAUGGGAUUACAAACACGUACCUCAUAGACAUUCCAGCUGAAACUUUGGGAGCACUGGAUAGGUUUGAGUAACUAGAGGUAUGUAAGAUUUAGGUUUGAGUAACUAGAGGUAUGUAGAUUUCAACAGAUGAGUAAAAAAUUCACCAGGGCACUUUGGAAGUAAAACAAAAAAAAAAAUUUUAAUUACAUGAUCUCCCCUUAUUUUUUGUCUCUUAUAUUAAGAUCAUGUCAGUUUUUAAAACAUGAGGAAUAAUCACAGGAACCUAACAGCUGUUGUAAGACUUGUGAAACAAUCCAGAGAUGACCCUCAGGCUCUGUUGAAUGCUAAGCAGUCUGAGUUCUUAUCUACUGUAUACUGAUCGGUCCUUGUUGGUAUUGUCAUCAGAGUAGUUUACCAAGAAAACUGAGUCCCCUAAAUAUCCUUGUUUGUUGUUGUAGAUUAAGCUGACCUUAUGCCAGCACGGGCUCUUGCUCAUAGAGUAGCCCGUAAGGUAGAUAACCUCAUAAGGCUGACCUGAAGUGCUUUUUCUCGAACUGGGGACAAAGAUUGGUGGACAGUAAGUAUGAGGAAGUUUGAGAACUUGAUGGGAAAAAAACAAGGAGUAAGAUAAGAAACUUAAAGGACUCAAAGCAAUGUACCUUAAGUCAAAGUUUCACAGCAAAGAACUUUCAGUGUGGCCUAUAGUUCAAUGGAAAUUCCUUUGUAUUCAGUCUGUUGUCAGGUCAGUAGUGCAGGGGCUGAAUGCAGUUUCUGUUUUACUAGACACUGCUAAAAUGUCUUACUGUUUCAACUCAUGCUGAUGUAGGGAAACACUUAUAAUGACUAAAAUACUUUCAAGAUGAAACUAAAAUGAAGACGCAGUUAUCUGGAACAAGAAGAAAAGCCCAUAAUUAAAAUUACCUGAGAAUUUUACUGCAAACGGGAACAUCAAAGAAAGGAGAGAAAAUUGUCAACAUGGGAAGAGGAAUAUAUUCAAAUUAAUCUGAAAUAACAAAAAUCAAAGUAAAUAAUCAAAACUUCAUGUGAGGAAAAAUCUUGGAAGAAAGAUUUCAGAGAAAUGGAAGUAGCUCUACUACCUUCCUUGAAAGGAUAAGCACCAGAACCUACAACACUGCCAGGCUGCUUGAGUUGGUAUGACAAUAUGACAGCUUGACACCUCGUCAAGAUUAUGCUACAGAUAUACCUUGGUGGGUAUAGUACUUCCUGUGCAAAAUCGUCAAUGUAAGGGGAAUGUGACAACAGUCCGAUCGGGCACCUGUUGGCUGGGGUGAAGCUUUAGGGUGUCAGGGUAGUACCCUACAUUGAUGGCAUCCCGUUUUCCAAAGUCUCCUGCCCAUACAAGAAGCAUCGCGUGAAUUAAACCCUUGGACAUGUAUUUGGUCUUCCUGCUUUUUAAGGGAGCUUUUGGUAACCAGUUACAAUGAAGUGUACUAGAAACAAGGACUCCUGCGUAGUGUUGACGUGGUUGACAUUUAAGUAAACUAGAAAUGUCUGAACAUUAGUGAUAUUUCAUUUUCAUUCAUUCAAAUCUUUUAAUUUUAAUCUCUAUUUUAAGAAAGUUAACGUAAGAAGCACACAUUAUUUGUAACUAAGGUAAUGUAGGAUAUACAAAAGCUAAGGUAAUGAAGAUGCACUCAUUAUUUUGACUUGCAUUAAGUAAGUGACAAUAUUCACAUAGAUGUUGUGAGCUAGAUAUAGACCUAGUAUUGUACAUUUGUUGGCUUCAAAUGGCUUUCAGAUGUUCUACUGAUGUAAUAGUAUAAAUAGACUUCAGGUUUAUUACUGUGUAAAUCGCACGAAUUAAUGUAGCAUCACCUAAUUCUAUUGUCUUUUUGAGAAAGACAAAAUCAAUUCAUAUUGAGAGCACGUUAGAGUCAUUAUCUGCUUGAAAAGUAGUGAAGUACUUCGUUAGGCAGCCUUUUGACAACGGAAAAAUGUCUUAAGUUGGUUAAGUGAAACUUGGAAAAGAUCACAAAGUUACAGGAGUGACAGGAAUUUUUCUAGUCCUCCAAGAUUAUUUCUGGUUCUGUGAUAUGAACACAUUUGUUAAUUUCAGGUAAGCAGUAGCUCUAUCAGUAAGGAAAAAUGUCAGCAACACGUGUCUCAAGGUAAAAUAAAUUCUCGUGAUCAUUAUGAAGCUUUUCAGACCUAUUUCAGCCCAAGUUAGCCAAUUGGAAGGUUUCCUAGAGAGAGGAUUUUUCAAGUAACUAGAAGUUGCCAAAUACUUGAUUAACUUCCAGUCAGAGAGAGAGAGAGAGAAACCCACACUUCUCAUGAGUUUCACUCUGUGAAUGUUUGACUUUAUAAGGUUCCCUGGUCUGCAGGGCCCCAGGAAAGACUCCUUUGUACCAGUAAUGAGGUAUUUUGCUAGCUUGUUCAAGUUUACAAAUAAUUAUGAAACAAAAAAUUAUGAAACAAAGCUACAAAAAUAGAGCCUGCAUAUAAUGCUAUCUCAAACUAAAUUACUACAAUAAUUUGUCAGUCACUGAGGUGCAUAUCACAAGUUUUUUUUCUUGUAUACAGAAGCAAUUUCAUAUGAAAUUUUCCUCCGUCCAGGAGAUUAUUAAAUUUUCUCCAACUUUGAACUCUAUAAGAUUAGAUGACAGCCUAUAAACAAAACCUUUUUAAAAUCUUUUUAAACCCUAAGUAGGAAGGGGUCUGAAAGAGUGGGAAAAGUAGGAGCACUUGGAGGCCUGCACAAGGGACUGCAACAUUACUACACAAGCCUAUGUAGUGUCUUUUUAACCUGAAUACUUCCGUCAGCUAUCUGUGUUAACUCAUACAUUGCGUAGUAUGUGCAUUUAUCUAUUGAUAAGAGUAGGAAAAUUACUUGAAACUUAAAAUUGUACACAACUUUAACGCAGCACGGAAUACUGUAGAACUGCUUUGAGAUGCCUUGUCCAAAUUAUGCUGUAACUAAUAACUUAAAAGGUAAAACUUAGCAAAUUAACUCUUGUCUAAAUAAAAACAUCAUACUCAUUUUUGGUCAAAACAAAAUCCUUUGUGGUCUCUUUCAAGAGAUUUUUCCUCACUGGUUUAGUUCUUAUUAAAACAAAUAUUUCAAGAAACUGUUAUUUUGUUACAAACAAAUGGUGUUUACUUGAAGAGGUUUCAAACCCAAUUUGUCUCCACCAGCUUGCUCACAAGAUCUGAUGUCAGCGACAAGAUAUAACUUUUUCCCUUGUCACUUCUGCUACCCCGU